UGGGGAAUAUUGGACAAUGGGGGCAACCCUGAUCCAGCCAUGCCGCGUGAGUGAUGAAGGCCUUCGGGUUGUAAAGCUCUUUUGGCGGGGACGAUGAUGACGGUACCCGCAGAAUAAGCCCCGGCUAACUUCGUGCCAGCAGCCGCGGUAAGACGAAGGGGGCUAGCGUUGUUCGGAAUUACUGGGCGUAAAGCGAGUGUAGGCGGUUGCCGUAGUCAGGUGUGAAAGCCUUGAGCUCAACUCAAGAAAUGCACUUGAUACUGGGUGACUAGAGGACCGGAGAGGAUAGUGGAAUUCCCAGUGUAGUGGUGAAAUACGUAGAGAUUGGGAAGAACACCAGUGGCGAAGGCGGCUAUCUGGACGGUUACUGACGCUAAGACUCGAAAGCGUGGGGAGCAAAACAGGAUUAGAUACCCUGGUAGUCCACGCCGUAAACGAUGGGUGCUAGACGUUGGCNAGCUUGCUCGUCAGUGUCGCAGCUAACGCGUUAAGCACCCCGCCUGGGGAGUACGGCCGCAAAGGUUGAAAANUUAAAAUGAAAUUGACGGGGGUCAUAGCUGUUU
rnacentral:rRNA from 1 species